UUAAAUUGAAGAGUUUGAUCAUGGCUCAGAUUGAACGCUGGCGGCAGGCUUAACACAUGCAAGUCGAACGGUAACAUGAGUGCUUGCACUUGAUGACGAGUGGCGGACGGGUGAGUAAUGUAUGGGGAUCUGCCGAAUGGAAGGGGACAACAGUUGGAAACGACUGCUAAUACCGUAUAAAGUUGAGAGACCAAAGCAUGGGACCUACGGGCCAUGCGCCAUUUGAUGAACCCAUAUGGGAUUAGCUAGUAGGUGAGGUAAAGGCUUACCUAGGCGACGAUCUCUAGCUGGUCUGAGAGGAUGACCAGCCACACUGGAACUGAGACACGGUCCAGACUCCUACGGGAGGCAGCAGUGGGGAAUAUUGCACAAUGGGGGGAACCCUGAUGCAGC
rnacentral:rRNA from 1 species